UACAGAGGGUGCGAGCGUUGUCCGGAAUCACUGGGCGUAAAGGGCGCGUAGGCGGCGCGGUAAGCGUGCGGUGAAAGCCCGGGGCUCAACUGUGGGCUUGCAGCUGAUACGGGCAGACUUGAGUGUUGCAGGGGAGACUGGAAUUCCUGGUGUAGCGGUGAAAUGCGCAGAUAUCAGGAGGAACACCGGUGGCGAAGGCGGGUCUCUGGGCAACAACUGACGCUGGAGGAGCGAAAAGCGUGGGGAGCGAACAGG
rnacentral:rRNA from 1 species